rnacentral:rRNA from 1 species
GUGGGGAAUAUUGCGCAAUGGGGGAAACCCUGACGCAGCGACGCCGCGUGAAGGAAGACGUACUUCGGUAUGUAAACUUCUAUCAGCAGGGAAGAAGAUGACGGUACCUGACUAAGAAGCCCCGGCUAACUACGUGCCAGCAGCCGCGGUAAUACGUAGGGGGCAAGCGUUAUCCGGAUUUACUGGGUGUAAAGGGAGCGUAGACGGUGAAGCAAGUCUGAUGUGAAAACCCGGGGCUCAACUCCGGGAUUGCAUUGGAAACUGUUUUACUUGAGUGCUGGAGGGGCAAGCGGAAUUCCUGGUGUAGCGGUGAAAUGCGUAGAUAUCAGGAAGAACACCGGUGGCGAAGGCGGCUUGCUGGACAGUAACUGACGUUGAGGCUCGAAAGCGUGGGGAGCAAACAGGAUUAGAUACCCCAGUAGUCC